AAUGGAACAAGAAGUUGAAUGGAAUCAGAUGUAAUGAAAGGAAUCUCUAAAUAGAAGUGGAUGAAAGAAAAGAGAAACACCAUGAAAGGAAGGGAAAAGAAGAAUGUUUUCCGAUUGCAGCAAAAUUUCUUUUCAGGGUUUGGAAUGGAACGAGAAGUGGAAUGGAAUCAGAUGUAAUGAGAGGAAUCUCGAAAUAGAAGUGCAUGAAAGAAAAGAGUAACACCAUGGAAGCAAGGGAAAAGAAGAAAGUUUUCCGAUUGCUGUAAAAUUUCUUUUCUGGGUUUGGAAUGGAACGAGAAGUGGAAUGGAAUCAGAUGUAAUGAAAGGAAUCUCGAAAUAGAAGUGGAUGAAAGAAAAGAGAAACACCAUGAAAGGAAGGGAAAAGAAGACUGUUUUCCGAUUGCAGAAAACUUUUAUUUCAGGGUUUGGAAUGGAACGAGAAGUGGAAUGGAAUCAGAUGUAAUGAAAGAAAUCUCGAAAUAGAAGUGGAAGAAAGAAAAGAAAAACACCAUGAAAGGAAGGGAAAAGAAGAAAGUUUUCCGAUUGCUUUAAAAUUUCUUUUCAGGGUUCGGAAUGGAACGAGAAGUGGAAUGGAAUCAGAUGUAAUGAGAGGAAUCUCGAAAUAGAAGUGGAUGAAAGAAAAGAGAAACACCAUGAAAGGAAGGGAAAAGAAGAAAGUUUUCCGAUUGCUGUAAAAUUUCUUUUCAGGGUUCGGAAUGGAACGAGAAGUGGAAUGGAAUCAGAUGUAAUGAGAGGAAUCUCGAAAUAGAAGUGGAUGAAAGAAAAGAGAAACACCAUGAAAGGAAGGGAGAAGAAGAAAGUUUUCCGAUUGCUGUAAAAUUUUAUUUCAGGGUUUGGAAUGGAACGAGAAGUGGAAUGGAAUCAGAUGUUAUGAAUGGAAUCUCGAAAUAGAAGAGGAUGAAAGAAAAGAGAAACACCCUGAAAGGAAGGAAAAAGA